GAAUGAACGCUGGCGGCGUGCUUAACACAUGCAAGUCGAGCGAGAAAGUCCUUCGGGAACGAGUACAGCGGCGAACGGGUUAAUUACGCGUGAGAAUCUACCUUUUAGUGAGGAAUACCUGCGGGAAACCGGAGAUAAUACCGCAUGUGUCCUUUAUAAAGAGAUUUAAAAGGAUAAAGAUGGCCUCUUUGCUAUCGCUAAAAGAUGAGCUUGCGUGCUAUCAGCUAGUUGGUAGGGUAAAGGCCUACCAAGGCUAUGACGGCUAGCCGGCCUGAGAGGGUGUUCGGCAACACUGGAACUUAGAUACGGUCCAGACUCCUACGGGAGGCAGCAGUGGGGAAUAUUGCACAAUGGGCGCAAGCCUGAUGCAGCGACGCCGCGUGAAGGAUGAAGGCCUACGGGUUGUAAACUUCUGUUAGGUGGGAAGAAAUCCCUAUUCCUAAUAUGAAUAGGGGAUGACGGUACCAUCAGAGAAAGCACCGGCUAAACUCGUGCCAGCAGCCGCGGUAAUACGAGUGGUGCAAGCGUUAUUCGGAAUCAUUGGGCGUAAAGGGUGUGUAGGCUGCAUUUCAAGUCUAUUGUUAAAUCUCCCAGCUUAACUGGGAAUAUGCAAUAGAUACUGAUUUGAUAGAGGAUGGAAGAGAGAAGUGGAAUUCUCGGAGUAGCGGUAAAAUGCGUAGAUAUCGAGAGGAACAUCGAUGGCGAAGGCAGCUUCUUGGUCCAUACCUGACGCUGAUACACGAAAGCGUGGGGAGCAAACAGGAUUAGAUACCCUGGUAGUCCACGCCGUAAACGAUGAUCACUUGAUGUUGGUUUGGCUUUGCUGAAUCAGUGUCGUAGCUAACGCGAUAAGUGAUCCGCCUGGGAAGUACGGUCGCAAGACUAAAACUCAAAAGAAUUGACGGGGGCCCGCACAAGCGGUGGAACAUGUGGUUUAAUUCGACACUACGCGAAGAACCUUACCCAGGCUUGACAUGCACGGGACCGGUGUUGAAAGACAUCUUCCCUUCGGGGCCCGUGCACAGAUGCUGCAUGGCUGUCGUCAGCUCGUCUCGUGACAUGUUGGGUUAAGUCCCGCAACGAGCGCAACCCUUGUCAUUAGUUGCCAUCAUUCAGUUGGGCACUCUAAUGAGACUGCCGGUGGUGAACCGGAGGAAGGUGGGGAUGACGUCAAGUCCUCAUGGCUCUUACGCCUGGGGCUACACACGUGCUACAAUGGUCGGUACAAAGGGUUGCACGACCGCGAGGUGGAGCCAAUCCCAAAAAGCCGGCCUCAGUUCGGAUUGGAGUCUGCAACUCGACUCCAUGAAGUUACUUACG
rnacentral:rRNA from 1 species